UUUUAUAUCUAUCAGUUCUUGCACCACAACAUUGCACCACAGGUUGAUAAUGGCGCGGGAAGGAUAUAAAAUAGAAGAUGUUAUACUCCGAAAUACAAGCUGUUUUCUACUAAGAAAGAAAAUGAAAAGAAAGUUACAUCUAAAUGGAGCUACUGUAGCUUGUAUAUGUAAAUGUAUCGAGGACAUAGGGAGGUGGUCAAAGCAGUCAUGACAGUAAGAACUCACUGACGCUGCGUCGUGUACACUUGUCGAUCUUCCAGACAAACAUUCAAAAGUUGACAACAACAUUGGCUUUACGUCAUCCCACAGAAUGCCUCGUCAGUUUGUACGCAUUGCCAUGAUGGCCCUUCUCGUUAGUAACUGUCUCUCUCAUCCUUUCCGAGAUUUAUCGGCGAUCAAAUCAAAGCUAGAGAAACGUUUAUUGGCAGAGAUUUUAAAAGGACCGGAAGAUGCAAAACACGUAACAGAAUCUAGAGAGGUGGGUCAAGAAGAGAUCGAUCUUGAAGGCGAAUGUCAUGACGUCGCUGACCAACAUAAAUGCAUGUUCGUCAUGCUGAAUAUUCAUACGUGUGAUGCUUAUUACAAGAAAAACUGCGCACUUAGCUGUGGUGAAUGCUACUAUAAAAAGAAGUAAAGUCAUAAAUGGCAGCAAAGUCAUCUCAGGUGAACGUUAAAGCAUUAAGAACCUACUAAAUAGAACAAUAAUCAACUCUUAAAAUGUAUGGAAUAUGUCUGAAUAUGCACUCGUUGUAAAAUCUAACACCUUGGAUUUAAAUGAAAAUAAAAGCGCUUUAGCAUUUAGCAAUCAA
rnacentral:misc_RNA from 1 species